AUGGAAAAGGACCCACAUCACUUGAGUAGGGCCUGGUUCAAGUUAGGUUCUAACUGUGACUCCGUGGACAAUAAUAUAUGUGAAUCAUUCAAUAAGUGGAUAGUUCAAGCUAGGUACAUGCCCAUAAUUACCAUGCUUGAAGCUAUCCGAUGCAAGGUGAUGGUUAGAAUACAAGAGAUGAGAACUCAGCUAGAUAAGUGAGCGGCCAGUGUCAUUAUUUGUCCUAACAUAACAAAGAAAUUGAAGAAGAGCAUAAACCAGUCUGCAUACUGCCAUGCAAUCUGGAAUGGCAAUGAUUCUUAUGAAGUUAAGCUUCGUGAGCAUAGGUUUACUGUUAAACUUGAAGAGAGGACAUGUACCUGCAGGUAUUGGCAACUUUCGGGGCUUCCUUGUUCACAUGCUAUAGCUUGCAUAUAUUAUCAUACAAAUAGCCUUGACGACUAUAUUGCAAAGUGCUACCAUGUUAAGGAGUUUAGAAAAACCUAUGAGCAUUGCCUUCAGCCUGUGGAAGGAAUGUCUGCAUGGCCAAUUUCAGACAAACCUAGGCCAGUGGCACCUGGGCACAUUGCAAUGCCUGGCAGAAAGAAGAAGUCAAGAACGAAAGAACCAGAUGAGAAGCCAGGGAGCAGUAGAGUUAGCAAAGCUGGUACUACCAUUCGUUGUGGGAAAUGCAAACAGAUUGGGCAUAAUAGAACAUCAUGUGAGAGGAGAAACGGAGUCAUGGCUGGAACAUCUAAUGUGGUGAGCUCUCAUUAUUUUCCAAUUUACAUUCAUGUAUUAUGA
rnacentral:rRNA from 1 species